rnacentral:lncRNA from 1 species
UGGUGGAGCAGAUGCUAUAUUUGAAGAAUCACUCUGACAUAUUCUAAAAUAAUCUACAAAUUAGAGAAAGAUACACUUUUCAUAACAGAUAGUCGGUAGUGGUAGCCUUUUUCUCCAUUGAUUUGUCCAAAAUGAUGGUUCGUUUCGAAGCUGAAAUAUUUUCACAUAUGUGGUAAAAUUUUCAGGGGUACGAGCGAAGUAAGAG